GACGAACCGUGCGAAUGUUGUUCGGAAUCACUGGGCUUAAAGGGAGCGUAGGCGGGCUAUCAAGUCUGGGGUGAAAUGCCGCGGCUCAACCGUGGAACUGCCUCAGAUACUGACGGCCUCGAGGGGGAUAGGGGCAUGCGGAACUGUAGGUGGAGCGGUGAAAUGCGUUGAUAUCUACAGGAACUCCGGUGGCGAAAGCGGCGUGCUGGAUCCCUUCUGACGCUGAGGCUCGAAAGCUAGGGGAGCAAACGGG
rnacentral:rRNA from 1 species